rnacentral:rRNA from 1 species
GGGGUACACGAGCGGCGAACGGGUGAGUAACACGUGGGUGAUCUGCCUCGCACUCUGGGAUAAGCCUGGGAAACUGGGUCUAAUACCGGAUAUGACCUUACAUCGCAUGGUGUUUGGUGGAAAGAUUUAUCGGUGCGAGAUGGGCCCGCGGCCUAUCAGCUUGUUGGUGGGGUAAUGGCCUACCAAGGCGACGACGGGUAGCCGGCCUGAGAGGGCGACCGGCCACACUGGGACUGAGACACGGCCCAGACUCCUACGGGAGGCAGCAGUGGGGAAUAUUGCACAAUGGGCGAAAGCCUGAUGCAGCGACGCCGCGUGAGGGAUGACGGCCUUCGGGUUGUAAACCUCUUUCGACAGGGACGAAGCGCAAGUGACGGUACCUGUAGAAGAAGCACCGGCCAACUACGUGCCAGCAGCCGCGGUAAUACGUAGGGUGCGAGCGUUGUCCGGAAUUACUGGGCGUAAAGAGCUUGUAGGCGGCUUGUCGCGUCGAUCGUGAAAACUUGGGGCUCAACCCCAAGCUUGCGGUCGAUACGGGCAGGCUUGAGUACUUCAGGGGAGACUGGAAUUCCUGGUGUAGCGGUGAAAUGCGCAGAUAUCAGGAGGAACACCGGUGGCGAAGGCGGGUCUCUGGGAAGUAACUGACGCUGAGAAGCGAAAGCGUGGGUAGCGAACAGGAUUAGAUACCCUGGUAGUCCACGCCGUAAACGGUGGGUACUAGGUGUGGGUUUCCUUCCACGGGAUCCGUGCCGUAGCUAACGCAUUAAGUACCCCGCCUGGGGAGUACGGCCGCAAGGCUAAAACUCAAAGGAAUUGACGGGGGCCCGCACAAGCGGCGGAGCAUGUGGAUUAAUUCGAUGCAACGCGAAGAACCUUACCUGGGUUUGACAUACACCGGAAACCUGCAGAGAUGUAGGCCCCCUUGUGGUCGGUGUACAGGUGGUGCAUGGCUGUCGUCAGCUCGUGUCGUGAGAUGUUGGGUUAAGUCCCGCAACGAGCGCAACCCUUAUCUUAUGUUGCCAGCGCGUAAUGGCGGGGACUCGUGAGAGACUGCCGGGGUCAACUCGGAGGAAGGUGGGGACGACGUCAAGUCAUCAUGCCCCUUAUGUCCAGGGCUUCACACAUGCUACAAUGGCCGGUACAGAGGGCUGCGAUACCGUGAGGUGGAGCGAAUCCCUUAAAGCCGGUCUCAGUUCGGAUCGGGGUCUGCAACUCGACCCCGUGAAGUUGGAGUCGCUAGUAAUCGCAGAUCAGCAACGCUGCGGUGAAUACGUUCCCGGGCCUUGUACACACCGCCCGUCACGUCAUGAAAGUCGGUAACACCCGAA